CUGAUGAUGUUGUUGAUGUCUGGGCAGUGUCAUCAGCAAGCCCCGUAACUCGUCCCUGGUGAAGCUCACCGUGGAUCAGCUGCUCAGAGGUUACGACAUUCGCCUGAGACCCGACUUUGGAGGUCCUCCCGUGCUGGUUGGUAUGAGCAUCGACAUCGCCAACAUCGACACCGUCUCAGAGGUCAACAUGGACUACACCCUUACCA